rnacentral:SRP_RNA from 1 species
GCUGGGCGCAGUGGCUCACGCCUGUAAUCCCAGCACCUUGGGAGGCUGAGGCAGGUGGAUCACCUGAGGUCAGGAGUUCAAGACCAGCCUGGCCAACAUGGUGAAACCCUGUCUCUA